CGAUGAAGCCCACUUGUGGGUGGAUUAGUGGCGAACGGGUGAGUAACACGUGAGUAACCUGCCCUUGACUCUGGGAUAAGCCUGGGAAACUGGGUCUAAUACCGGAUAUGACUCCUCAUCGCAUGGUGGGGGGUGGAAAGCUUUUUGUGGUUUUGGAUGGACUCGCGGCCUAUCAGCUUGUUGGUGAGGUAAUGGCUUACCAAGGCGACGACGGGUAGCCGGCCUGAGAGGGUGACCGGCCACACUGGGACUGAGACACGGCCCAGACUCCUACGGGAGGCAGCAGUGGGGAAUAUUGCACAAUGGGCGCAAGCCUGAUGCAGCGACGCCGCGUGAGGGAUGACGGCCUUCGGGUUGUAAACCUCUUUCAGUAGGGAAGAAGCCUUUCGGGGUGACGGUACCUGCAGAAGAAGCGCCGGCUAACUACGUGCCAGCAGCCGCGGUAAUACGUAGGGCGCAAGCGUUAUCCGGAAUUAUUGGGCGUAAAGAGCUCGUAGGCGGUUUGUCGCGUCUGCCGUGAAAGUCCGGGGCUCAACUCCGGAUCUGCGGUGGGUACGGGCAGACUAGAGUGAUGUAGGGGAGACUGGAAUUCCUGGUGUAGCGGUGAAAUGCGCAGAUAUCAGGAGGAACACCGAUGGCGAAGGCAGGUCUCUGGGCAUUAACUGACGCUGAGGAGCGAAAGCAUGGGGAGCGAACAGGAUUAGAUACCCUGGUAGUCCAUGCCGUAAACGUUGGGCACUAGGUG
rnacentral:rRNA from 1 species